AGAGUUUGAUCAUGGCUCAGGAUGAACGCCGGCGGUGUGCCUAAUACAUGCAAGUCGUACGCACUGGCCCAACUGAUUGAUGGUGCUUGCACCUGAUUGACGAUGGAUCACCAGUGAGUGGCGGACGGGUGAGUAACACGUAGGUAACCUGCCCCGGAGCGGGGGAUAACAUUUGGAAACAGAUGCUAAUACCGCAUAACAACAAAAGCCACAUGGCUUUUGUUUGAAAGAUGGCUUUGGCUAUCACUCUGGGAUGGACCUGCGGUGCAUUAGCUAGUUGGUAAGGUAACGGCUUACCAAGGCGAUGAUGCAUAGCCGAGUUGAGAGACUGAUCGGCCACAAUGGAACUGAGACACGGUCCAUACUCCUACGGGAGGCAGCAGUAGGGAAUCUUCCACAAUGGGCGCAAGCCUGAUGGAGCAACACCGCGUGAGUGAAGAAGGGUUUCGGCUCGUAAAGCUCUGUUGUUGGAGAAGAACGUGCGUGAGAGUAACUGUUCACGCAGUGACGGUAUCCAACCAGAAAGUCACGGCUAACUACGUGCCAGCAGCCGCGGUAAUACGUAGGUGGCAAGCGUUAUCCGGAUUUAUUGGGCGUAAAGCGAGCGCAGGCGGUUGCUUAGGUCUGAUGUGAAAGCCUUCGGCUUAACCGAAGAAGUGCAUCGGAAACCGGGCAACUUGAGUGCAGAAGAGGACAGUGGAACUCCAUGUGUAGCGGUGGAAUGCGUAGAUAUAUGGAAGAACACCAGUGGCGAAGGCGGCUGUCUGGUCUGCAACUGACGCUGAGGCUCGAAGGCAUGGGUAGCGAACAGGAUUAGAUACCCUGGUAGUCCAUGCCGUAAACGAUGAGUGCUAGGUGUUGGAGGGUUUCCGCCCUUCAGUGCCGGAGCUAACGCAUUAAGCACUCCGCCUGGGGAGUA
rnacentral:rRNA from 1 species